rnacentral:rRNA from 1 species
UGGGGAAUAUUGCACAAUGGAGGGAACUCUGAUGCAGCGACGCCGCGUGAGUGAUGAAGGAAUUCGUUUCGUAAAACUCUGUUCUAUGGGAAGAAAAGGACUGUACCAUAGGAGAAAGCUCCGGCUAAAUACGUGCCAGCAGCCGCGGUAAUACGUAUGGAGCGAGCGUUGUCCGGAAUUAUUGGGCGUAAAGGGUGCGCAGGCGGCUUUACAAGUUGGAUGUGAAAUAUUGUGGCUCAACCACAAACGUGCAUCCAAAACUGCAAAGCUUGAGUUAAGGAGAGGUAAGUGGAAUUCCUGGUGUAGCGGUGGAAUGCGUAGAUAUCAGGAGGAAUACCGGGGGCGAAGGCGACUUACUGGACUUAAACUGACGCUCAGGCACGAAAGCGUGGGGAGCAAACAGGA